ensembl:lncRNA
GAGGAGGAGGAGGAAGAGGAGGAGGAGGCCUGGGGGCAUCAGGGGAGGAGAUGUCCCGGCACAGGAUGCUUCUCCAGAGAGCGAUAGGAGAGGGCCUCCCAUAGGUCCUCAGGUAGCUCCUGGGUAAAAUGUGUCUCAGGGAAGGAGGCCGGCAGUCUAGUGGUUCCGGGUGUUAAGUCGCGAUUAAACUAACGUUUUGCGGUUUUCUGCGAACUUUUGCGGUGUUGUGCGAACCAGCUGUAUAUGGUCACCAUGGCUACCAAAGCUGUCCCACACGGAACACAUGAACUACACCCAGUGGCGGCUGGCGAUCAAACAUGUUGGUGGGGCACGGUAAUAGACAGGGAGUCUGAGGUUCCCCCCCCCCCCAUAAUUUUUUUUGAAUUUAAUAGAUUUGAUUUCCUGUAUUCUGGUGCAUUUUCGGGAUGGCCACUACCUAUUUACCUACUUUUCAUUCAGAUUCAUAGCCUACAUCCUGACUUGCAGGGCCUUGACAAGCUUACACUGCAUAUACAGACCUACUUCAUGGCCAUUCCACCAGCCAUUGCUAUUUGACCCAUUGUUGUCGUCACCCGUCAUCUCGUCUCUGUAAACAAUGGAUGUUGCGCAGCAUUUAUUAUGACAUCAUUAUAUAGACUCUCCCUCAGCACCCCCUCGGGUCUGACUUCCCGCGUCCCUGGUGUUACCCCCUAUGUUUUAUUCGAUACAUUUCGACAGUGUUACCCCUUAUGGGUUUUUCAAGACGACAGAUAAAAAACGACAGUGUUACCCUUUACGUUUCAUUUGAUAGAAACGACAGUGUUACCCCUUCUGUUUUUUUCCCAUGAUGACUGAUGAAAAACAACAGUAUUACCCCUUAUAUUUUAUUUGACAAGGCCAAUUAUUUAUUUGUUUUCUAAUGGUUUUUUUUCAUGACGACCAAUAAAAUACGACUGUGUUACCCCUAAUAUUUUAUUAUUUGACAAAGACAACAGUGUUACCCUUUAUGUUUUUUUUCAUGACGACCAAUACAAAACAACAGUUGUUACCCCUUAUGGUUUUUUUCAUGAUGACCAAAGAAAAACGACAGUGUCACCCCUCAUGUUUCAUUUGAUAAAAACGACAGUGUUACCCCUUAUGUUUUUUUUCAUGACGACCAAUAAAAAACAACAGUUACCCCUUAUGUUUUUUUCAUGACAACCAAUAAAAAACAACAGUGUUACCCCUUAUGUUUUUUUUUCAUGACAACCAAAGAAAAACAAUGGUGUUACCCCCUAUGUUUUAUUUGAUAAAUAUCGAAAGUGUUACCCCUUAUGUUUAUUUCAUGACGGCCGAUAAAAAACGACAGAGUUACCCCUUAUGUUUUUUUUCAUGACGAGUGACGACCAACAAAAAACAACAGGGUUACCCCUUAUGGUUUUUUUCAUGAUGACCAAAGAAAAAUAACGUGCACACCAUUGUGUUUUUAUUCAUGACGGGCUCUACCGGACUUGAACCCCGGUCUCCAGGGAGCUAGGUAGAGUGCACUCCACUGCACCACUGAGGCGAAGACAAUACACAUUAAUCAAUCAUCAAUAAAGAGGAUAUACAUGACAUUAAAAUGUAUUUGUGUAUUUCUAUUAUUUCCUUUGUUUUUUUUCAUGACGACCAAUAAAAAAACGAGUGUUACCCCUUAUAUUUUAUUUGACAAAGACAACAGUGUUACCCUUUGUUUUUUUUCAUGACGACCAAUAAAAAACAACAGUGUUACCCCUUAUUGUUUUUUUUCAUGACGACCAAUAAAAAACGACAGUGUUACCCCUUAUGUUUUUUUUCAUGACGACCAAUAAAAAACAACAGGGUUACCCCUUAUGGUUUUUUUCAUGAUGACCAAUAAAAAACGACAGUGUUACCCCUUAUGUUUUUUUUCAUGACGGCCGAUAAAAAACGACAGUUACCCCUUAUGUUUUUUUUCAUGACGACCAAUAAAAAACAACAGGGUUACCCCUUGUGUUUUUUUUCAUGACGACCAAUAAAAAACGAC